GUCUCUGUGGUGCAAUUGGUCAACGCGUUUGGCUGUUAAUCGAAAGGUUGGUGGUUCGAAACCACCCAGGGAUG